rnacentral:tRNA from 1 species
UCCUGGUUAGCUCAGUUGGUAGAGAGCUCCACUGGAAAUGGAGAGGUCCCUGGUAGGAUACCAGGACGAGGCA